AUUGAACGCUGGCGGCAGGCCUAACACAUGCAAGUCGAGCGAGCGGCGGACGGGUGAGUAAUGUUUGGGGACUGCCCGAUAGAGGGGGAUAACUACUGGAAACGGUAGCUAAUACCGCAUAUUAUUGGAUACCCAAUAUGGGAUUAGCUAGUAGGUGGGGUAAUGGCUCACCUAGGCGACGAUCCCUACCUGGUCUGAGAGGACGAUCAGCCACCCGGGGACUGAGACACGGCCCAGACUCCUGCGGAGGCAGCAGUGGGGAAUAUUGCACAAUGGGCGCAAGCCUGAUACAGCCAUGCCGCAUGUAUGAAGAAGGCCCUAGGGUUGUAAAGUACUUUCAGUCGGGAGGCGUUACCGACAGAGUAAGCACCGGCUAGCUACGUGCCAGCCGCCGCGGUAAUAC
rnacentral:rRNA from 1 species